rnacentral:lncRNA from 1 species
CGCAUCCACAUCUCCCCCCUCCGCCCGCAUCGCUCCACCCUCUCUCUCUCUCUUCCCCCCCUCGCGCGACCCCGGCGGCUGGAUAGAUAACCCUAGCCCUCCCGAUCUCCCUCCCGCGUCCUCAUCUUCCUUCUCCAGAUCGCUAUAUAAGACCUCGGAUUUCGAAAUUUUCCGCCAACUUUCCGCCCCGCCCCACCUCUUCCCGCCAUUUCCCCGGUCCUUUCUUCUCCGGCGCGGGGCCGGAUCC